UCUGCAGCACGCGCCUAACGGCGUG
rnacentral:snRNA from 1 species